AACGAACGCUGGCGGCAGGCUUAACACAUGCAAGUCGAACGCCCCGCAAGGGGAGUGGCAGACGGGUGGGUAACGCGUGGGGACAUACCCAUUUCUACGGAAUAUCCCUGGGAAACUGGAAUUAAUACCGGAUACGCCCUACGGGGGCAAGGUUUAUCGGGGAAGGAUUGGCCCGCGUGGGAUUCGCUAGUUGGUGGGGUAAUGGCCUACCAAGGCGACGACCCAUAGCUGGUCGGAGAGGAUGAUCACCCACAUUGGGACGGGGACACGGCCCGAACUCCUACGGGAGGCAGCAGUGGGGAAUAUUGCACAAUGGGCGCAAGCCUGAUCCAGCCCUGCCGCGUGAGUGAUGAAGGCCUUAGGGUUGUAAAGCUCUUUCACCGAUGAAGAUAAUGACGGUAGUCGGAGAAGAAGCCCCGGCUAACUUCGUG
rnacentral:rRNA from 1 species